rnacentral:lncRNA from 1 species
GAGGAGGAGGAGUAGAGAAGUACAAAGCAACAUCUUCCUGCAAAAUGAGACAAGUCAAUUGACUAGUACAUUUCAAAAUCAGUACUCGGGGGCUAUGGUCACGAGUACUUAUAGGCUUUGGCGGGUGUAAGGUGCUGAAUUCUCGAACAAUAGUGGGGAUCCCGCCCACAUUCUUGAACAUUCACUUGAACCUCGCAUGACUUCAUCCAUGCUGAUUUCAUCAGAAGUGAAUCUAGAUGGAUCAUUCAAGUCGGUAUACUCAUAGCCAUAAUGGCACCGCUGCUGCAGAGGUUGAAUGCGACGCUUCAUAAAGCUAAAGGCCACUCCUACUCUAGUAAGGCCUUCUUGUUUUAGCUGGGCAAUUCUACCCAUCAACUUGGGCAAUUGCAGGCAAUCGCCAUGCUUUGGCUCAUCAAGCCACCUGUUGUUCCAAGAAGGACGGUGUCCUGUCAGCUUGGGGAGUUUCGGAUCAUGGUUGCCACUAUAGCACCAUUUUUGUUUCCACCCGACAUUGGAGUCUAUCAACUCGUAAUCCAAAUACUGGCUCCUAGCUGUAUCCCACAUCUGAAUUCCAUCGUCUCUAACCAAAAGCGUGUGUUCCCUCGAGGGUUGUGGCUUCACACGGAAAAAUUUUCGAAACAAUUGAAAAUGCAGCCUAAUCCCUAGGAAGGUUUUGCAGAAAUGGAUGAAAAUAGCAAUGUGGAGGAUCCCAUUGGGAUUCAGAUGAACCAACUCUAACUUAUAGAAAUCCAGCAAGCCUUGGAAGAAAUCUGAAGCUAGCAAUGCGAGACCCCGCUCAAUGAAGUGGGCAAACAUCUCAUUGGGGUAGGUCUCCAACGGGCAGGCAUUAUCAUAAGCAGAUCUCCAAUUGAUGAAGUUUUGAUCUUGGAGUAAAUUGGCGGUUACGAGCGCCUUGAUAUCCUUAUCCUUUAAAGUUGACCGCUUGUAUGCACAGACGAGAUUUGGCGGUGCAGUUUGAUCGGUCUUCCCGUAUUUGGGUGCCGACAAAUGCGGCUCUUUCUUCUUGUUGGACCUUUUCUUCUUCUCGCCCUCUCCUACUUUGGAUGCAGCAGCCUUCCUUCCCAUCUUUGAUGUCACGAGUGUUUUAAGUCGCAUAUGCUCAGAGGCUUCUUGGUAGGGAGACGGUGGCGCAAGUGUUCGAAGAUCAAACAAUGGCAACAGUGCUAAGGCUAAAGUAUGGAAGUUGGAAAGGCAACUGGCAAAGGUAAAAUAUAAGGGAUAACUUCCUCCAUUAUUUAUCACAGUGACGCGGUAACAACGGCGGAAAUAAAGGGAUUUUUUAAUUUAAAGGAUCCCUACAAUUUCGGACACCUGAUUGCCGGUUACCUUUAUUUCAGGCGGAGAUAAGAUCUCCUUCCAGAGAUAGUCACGUUGACCAAAGGUUGAUCCUUAUACCCACCAAACUAGUCAGCUAAAGGCUCGAGGGCUGUGUGCCACGUGUCCAUCGAUAAAAAGUUUUUUCUCCAGGUUUUAAGGGGGAAGUGAUGCAAAUUACAGAUUGACCCUCAGCCUGAUUCUUCGAUUCAACCUAAGGCUCGGGGGCUACUCCAUAUGGAGUACGACUUUCAUCGCACUACGGUAUAAAUUUCAAGAUUGAAGGAUGUGAGAUUGAGUUAAAUGAGGCUUGAGCACAUUCUAGCCGCAUGUCAAUUUUUGGGUACCUUCGAAGAUUCAACCAGAUGAAGUACUCGAAGAGCACCAAAACUAGUCGAUAAAGUCUGCAAAAAUACUCGGAACUGCUGCAUUUAACUAAAAAGUAGUUGGGGGCUUGUCCUACAUACAUCUAUGGGCUCACCAGAAGGUUUGGACAGUUCUAAAUAUGGGGCUGGACACUGAGACAUAUCUGACAUGGAGACCAUGGCGCAGGACGGUAUAGUCUACAUGGAAAGACAGGACCUAGUCAAUGAUUAGGAAAGUAUUCGUUAUAAUAAUAGUAGAACUCCUCUAGCCAUAUCCGACUAGUAUUCUUGUAACCAACCGACCUGUAACCUUGACCCCGGCAAUAUAAGGUGAGGCAGGAACCCCCUCCAAAGAAAUUCAAUCUAACUAACACACAGGACGUAGGGUAUUACGCAAUCUAGCAGCCUGAACCUUUCUAAAUUGUGUGUCUGUGUUUACCUUAGAUGAGCCCCACUAACCAAAACACUACCUCGGGCACCCCCUCUCGGUAGGUUGUCGGGUUUAAACACCGACAGCAGGAAGUUGGUGUCGAUGCACUCCAGGGAGCAGUUCAAGCCAACGAUGCACUCCACUAGGUCCGGAUUCCGGGCGUGGAUCGGGAUGCCCUCCAAACAGAGGCGAACCCUGAAGAACAGGACCGCCCCUAGAGCGGCCUACAAACUGCGCUAGGGCCUGACGUUGUUGACGAUUCAUGAUGCUUGAGGUAGCUCAUCUCUACCGCUUCCUUCGCGUGAUGCCGGUUGUUGAACUUGAUGAGGAAUGAUUCAGGCUGGUGCCUAGAAACCGUCACCUCACCCUUCUGUAGGCAGAGUUCAUCGAGCACGAUAGCCUCGAUCUCCCUUAUGCCGGUGGACGGCGGCGUGCUCAUGGCCUUGAUGAUGAGCGUCGUCCCUUCCCACUCUCUAACCUCCUGCUCGAGAUCAAACGAGGUUGGCACCAGGUAGCUCACCUUAUCUAGCCUGGUGGAGGGGUCGCCGAUAGGUGCCAUGCGCGUAGUCAGCGUUGGCUUGGGCGGCAGUGGGAGCUCUGUAUGGCGACAUUGGCUGCUGCGACGUGGAGGAGGCGGGUAGUGCUUGGUUGGAAGACGUGGUGCAUGGCGAGGAGACUUCGUUUGCUGAUGUUGUUGAAGACGAGAUGUCGACAGGUUGUGGUGGUGGGGAUGAGGCUCAGGUGGUGGGUGGCGGGGGUCUCUGCACGGCGCGGCCUUGUGGCCAGAGCGGCGACAUCUGAAACACCGAAUGGGGUCUCUACAGAAGCUGGCCUGGUGGUCUGGCGCAAGACAGAUGAAGCACUGGCCUGCCGUUUGCUUCUUGAACUUAGCGAGCGUAGGGGAUGCAGUGCGAUUG